rnacentral:tRNA from 1 species
UCCUGGAUGUCCAGUGGUUAAGAGCCUGCCUGCCAAUGCAGGAGACACAGGUUCGAUCCCUGGUCCAAGAA